rnacentral:tRNA from 1 species
CCGGGUGUAGCGCAGUUGGUAGCGCGCCUGCUUUGGGAGCAGGAUGCUCCCCUUUCAAACCAGAAAAUACCGUG